CUCUCCCUAUAUCAGGGGAGAUAGCCUAGUUUUUCAGCUAUCUCCGUACUUACUGUGCCUGUCUCACAUGACUGGCCCCACAUACAGCCCUGUUAUUACAGGGGGGUGAGCCUCCCCCACCCCCCCCAUCCAUAUUUCUGGGGCUCUACCUGCUACUGCACCAUAAUAAUGGACGUGUGACACCAUUGUGGGCUGGGCAACCCCCUCCCU